CCCUUAGAUGUCCUGGGCUGCACGCGCGCUACACUGAUGUGUCCAGUAAGCACCUAACCUAUUCCGAGAGGAGCGGGUAACCUCAGCAAAGCACAUCGUGAUGGGGAUAGAUUAUUGCAAUUAUUAGUCUUGAACGAGGAAUUCCUAGUAAGCACAAGUCAUCAGCUUGUGUUGAUUACGUCCCUGCCCUUUGUACACACCGCCCGUCGCUCCUACCGAUUGAAUGUUCCGGUGAGCUCUUCGGACUGCGCGGUCUGCAGUUUCUGCGUUCCGUGCGGAAAGUUGUGCAAACCUUAACAUUUAGAGGAAGGAGAAGUCGUAACA
rnacentral:rRNA from 1 species